UGCCAGCCGCCGCGGUAAUACGUAGGGUGCAAGCGUUGUUCAGAAUCACUGGGCGUAAAGGGCGUGUAGGCGGAUGAAUAAGCUAGAGGUUAAAGACCACAGCUCAACUGUGGGGUUGCUUUUGGAACUGUUCGUCUAGAGUUAGUUAGAGGUUAGCAGAAUUCCUGGUGUAGAGGUGAAAUUCGUAGAGAUCAGGAGGAAUACCAGAGGCGAAGGCGGCUAACUGGGACUUAACUGACGCUGAUGCGCGAAAGCAUGGGGAGCAAACAGGAUUAGAUA
rnacentral:rRNA from 1 species